UUUUUUUGUUCUUGAUUUAUUUUACACAUUAUUUUAUUGGCCUUUUUGUGACAUUUUUAUUCGAUCAUUUUUCCGCCAAAAGUGGCUUGUGGACUUCCUUUUUUUAUCUGUUUUUUUCUGAUUUCAUUUGAUGAAUUUAGGUGGUCUAUCCUUAUCUGCAAACCGCAGUUCUCUGAAGACCAGGAGUAUGUUGUGACUUCCUGAAAAUCAUCAAGUGUUUGUUUCAGUGGAUUAUGCUUGAUGCCCAGCCAAUUCAGGAGCAAUUCAAUCUUCAGAAUUUCAGAUGUUGCAUGCAGUGGUGCUGCAGUGUGUCUAACGGAUUUCCAGUUGACUGGCAUGUUUUGACAUCCGUAUAUAUCAGAGACGACAUUGUAUAUCAGAAAAGAAGGGGAACAGCAUUUUUGAAACAUCAUAGUAUUAGCUCUCUAAACUGGAAAUAGGGAUGGAAAUGUGUCCCUCCACGACUCAUCCAGAUUCCAAUAGCUGAACUCAGUGUAAUUUCCAUAGCGCUGCUCUGUCAAAGGUUUUUCGGAAUUCUGUGUUCCUCUGCCCUUUCUCUGCUCGUCCUCCUAAAUUACACUGAGAUGAUGAACCACUUCCGAGGCUCAAGGCUCUCUGAGAUUUAAAACUUUGUCCUGGAUUAAGGACAGGUUAGGAGAGACAUUAAUAUGCAGAACAGGUUCAGUUGAGUGCUCCUACCUGCCGUUGUACUGGUGCUGAACACAUGUACGCCUGUUGUUCUCCAUGGGCUUUGUACUCAGCAGGAACUCUGAAGCAGCUUACAAUUUCCCAUCAUUAUGAGCAGGUGCUUUAGUCUCGACAGUGGUGUGUCAUUGUCAGCAUGAAAAACGCUGUGGUUGUGUGCUCUGGUGUGGAAAUCGGAGGCUUGCAUGCAAUGUUUGCACAUGUGCAUACACACUUUGACUGUCAACAGCGGUUUGUAUCGUGGAUAAGUGGGAUUUUAGAGGUGUUCAGGGCUCAGAUUAGAUGUUUGGAGGCGUCACUCAAACCUCCAAGCAGUCUUCAUUACAUCUGUUCAGUCAGUCUUCAUUACAGGAAGGAUGUUUUUCCUGAUCAGAAAGAACAGAUCUCUGUAGGUUCAUUGAUGGGGUUAUGUUAUUAAAUUGAAGAGAUGCUUUUUUGGCUUCAGUGAAAGAAGAGAGUUUAUUGUUGUAGCAAAUGCUCUGUCGUCAUUCGCAACAGCAUUUUUGUCUGAUGAAACCCAAAGACACAAUAAAAAGUAAGCUCUAAGCGAAAAGAUGUGACUAUAAAUAAUAUCUCUAAUAGUACUUAAAAUUUCCACUGUCAGCUAUUGACCCGUUACUCUUAAAUUAUGUUACAGGGACACAGAAAAUAUG
ensembl:lncRNA